AUUGAACGCUGGCGGCAGGCUUAACACAUGCAAGUCGAGCGGGGUGAUGGUGCUUGCACUAUCACUUAGCGGCGGACGGGUGAGUAAUGCUUAGGAAUCUGCCUAUUAGUGGGGGACAACAUCUCGAAAGGGAUGCUAAUACCGCAUACGUCCUACGGGAGAAAGCAGGGGAUCACUUGUGACCUUGCGCUAAUAGAUGAGCCUAAGUCGGAUUAGCUAGUUGGUGGGGUAAAGGCCUACCAAGGCGACGAUCUGUAGCGGGUCGGAGAGGAUGAGCCGCCACCAUGGGACUGAGACACGGCCCAGACUCCUACGGGAGGCAGCAGUGGGGAAUAUUGGACAAUGGGGGGAACCCUGAUCCAGCCAUGCCGCGUGUGUGAAGAAGGCCUUAUGGUUGUAAAGCACUUUAAGCGAGGAGGAGGCUCUUUUGGUUAAUACCCAAGAUGAGUGGACGUUACUCGCAGAAUAAGCACCGGCUAACUCUGUGCCAGCCGCCGCGGUAA
rnacentral:rRNA from 1 species